GGGAAAUAAUGGGGAUGAUAAUAAAGCAGAGGGGGGAAAACCCGUCCGAGGGAAGCUGAAUGGAUGGAGCCAGAGAGACGUCACAGCCAGCCGCAGCCAUGAAGACUGAGCGCUCCAGCCUCCGGAGGCUCAGUCGCUCUCCAUCUCCCCAGCUGCUCGCUCCCUCGCUCGGCUCUUCUUCUUUUUUUUGGAGAGCGGACGCCGCGGCGACUCGCAGACGACGGCGGAUCCCUGGAGAGACACUCAGCGGCCUCACAACACGUGGCUUACUGUAGGCCAGAACUUGGGCCAUGUCCCUUUGCCUGCGGCUUGAGAGGAUGGGUAGCCUUAGGGGUUGGUUGUUAUCUUUGGUUAUCUAGCUGUAUGAGUGAUGUACAUUCUUCAUAAAGCUAGAUAACCGAAAGUAACAAGAAUCCCAUUACACUCCUGAAAAGGCAUCAAGACCCCAAACGGGCCACCCUCAAAAAAAAAAAGAACAGACUGCAAGAACAAGAACUGCAACACCAGAGAAGAAGACGGACGACGUUUAAAAGGAGACGUGGGGCGGAACGCAGCAAAAGGCUACCAACCACACCACCACUGAAGGGAAGCUGGCAAAAAAGGAGACUGAAAAACAGAGAAGAAGGAGGAGGAGGGGUUGCUGUUGAUUCUGCCCUGCCUCUCUCCUCGCCCUCCUCUGCAUCGCCUCUUCCCUCCUCCUCCUAAUCCUCCUCCCUUCCUCCUCCGCUCCAUCCUCAGCCGACUGCCCCCUUUUUCCUGUACAGCGAGACGCAGCCCCGCGCCACCAUCUUAGAGCAACGCUGGCAUGAAAUGGAAGUGGGGAAGACCAGUCGGUGCAGGUGGAUGAUUUGUCGGCGUGCCCAAGGGGGAUCCGAAACGGCCAGAGCGGACGAAGAGGAGGGACAGCAGCUUCUCCUCCGUUUGCCGUCUUUCCGCCAGGACUGAAACGGCGACGGCGCCGACGUCUGCACGCGCUUCCCGCCGUGACUUUGGGACAUCGCCGCGCCGUUCGUACCUCGACGCGUUAUUUGACCCAAGCGGGACUGAGCGAAAAAAAAAAAAAAACGUCCACGGCUGUGGGAAACGAAAGGCUCAGACAGAAGAUCAGCAGCUUUUCCGGUGCGGACAAACUGGUCCCGUAAAUGUUGUGACUCUCGAGGGUGUGGCACUUGAUUUUGUAAUUCUCCUCCUUAUGUGUUCUAUCCUCCAUGUGAAGAAUAUCACUUAAGACAUGAAGCGAUGUGGUGUGGCUUCAACUGACCAUAGGCUUGACUCGUAGGUUCAUUUGAAUGAGUUGUAGCCCACGUUUUGUUUGAUUCCUGUUUUUGUUAUAUAGUUGCUAGGACUCGGAGACACGUGAAUGUGAGACCCACGGCAGCAGUGAAUAAAUACUGCACUGCGAUUGGACGGCUCCGUGUGUCGGCUGACACAAUGGCGAAGGAAUGAGCUGUCGUCUUUAUACUCUAUGCAACUGUUUUAUCUUUUAUUUCAUUUUAUUUUUGGUCUUGGAUCUCCUUUCAUCAUUGGGAUUUUUAUUUUUGGGCUACCAGUUUUACAGAUAUUCCUUCAGACAUCAUGAAGAGAAAUGGUUUUAUAAAAAGGAGCCUACUUUCUCCCGGUUUGUUAAUAUACUGCUACAGAAAUGACAGUCAGUGAGUGUGUGUGUGUGUGUGUGUGAGUGAGUGCGUGACAAAUGACACAAUACAGCUCAGUUUCACAUGCAUUUUGGAGCUCAUAUUCGCAGCCUUAACAGACUUUGAUUCGCAGCCGUGAGCCACAGUCUGAGUAAACGGGCGACCGCACGUUUGAUAUUCCUGAUGGCAGGAGCGUGUUUGAUCAGCAGGAAGUGGCAGAGCCAGGGCUCAUGGCGGCGAGUGUACAGAACACGCCGCGCUAUUAAAACCUUCCCCCGGCGCUGUCUGGAACGCAGCAGCUUGGUUCAGUUACCUGCGUCGCUGUAACGAUCUGUCGUUUGGGUGAGACAUGAUAAAUACAUUGGCUUCAAACACCGCCUUAAUUUCCUGUCCUUGACAUUAACACACGCACGCACACGCGCACACACACGCACACACGUGCCCAAACGUAAUAAAGCAAGUACUAUCGCAGCCUAAUUCAUUCUAUAUUAAUUUUCGGGAAGUGGCAAUUUUUUUAUUACGAUUGAUAAUCUAUGCAAAUCUUUUAAAUAUUACUUUAAACAAGCUUGCGUCUAUGCAGUGCUUUUGCGAUUGAUUCGAGAGGAGACUAUCUUGGUUCUAAUUUAGAAAAUGUAUUCUUUUGAUAAUCAUGCACAUCCCAGUGCUCGAGACAAUUACUCAUCUGCCUGGAUAAGCUUGAAAUUAUGUUUUUAAUCUUAAGCAAAAAAAAAAUAAAAAAUAAGUCACUCCUCUGAUAUCAGUCCAGAGGCAUGAAAACCAUGAAUUGUGGUCUAAAAUGAUUAAAUUGUGCUUGCACUAAAUCUGUUGUUUUUUUUCCCCCCCUUAAAUGCAGAUCAAAGCUAUCUAUUCAGCUUAUUGGCGUAUUGUUUUAUACAAGCAGCAAUGUUUGUGUUAUGCAAUCUAAAUCGCUGUGAUGAGUGUUCACCGCAUGUGCCUUUGUAUGGAAAACUGUGUUAGUAGUAGUAAUAAAAAGGUUUACAUUGAAAACAA